GACGAACGCUGGCGGCGUGCUUAACACAUGCAAGUCGAGCGGUAAGGCCCUCGGGGUACGACGAGCGGCGAACGGGUGAGUAACACGUGGGUGACCUGCCCUUAGCUCUGGGAUAAGCCUGGGGAAACUGGGUCUAAUACCGGAUAUGACCUCAUGACUCAUGUUGGUGGGGUGGAAAGCCUUGUGCGGCUAGGGAGUGGGCCCGCGGCCUAUCAGCUUGUUGGUGGGGUAAUUGCCACCAA
rnacentral:rRNA from 1 species